AAGCUAUGACGAUUAGAUCCUUACCUACUAAGACUAUUCCAUGGUUCUACGUUACUCGUACUGUCUGAGCUC
rnacentral:snoRNA from 1 species